rnacentral:misc_RNA from 1 species
GAUGAAGAACGCAGCGAAAUGCGAUAAGUAAUGUGAAUUGCAGAAUUCAGUGAAUCAUCGAGUCUUUGAACGCACAUUGCGCCCCCUGGUAUUCCGGGGGGCAUGCCUGUCCGAGCGUCAUUGCUGCCCUCAAGCCCGGCUUGUGUGUUGGGCCUCGUCCCCCCUCCGGGGGACGGGCCCGAAAGGCAGCGGCGGCACCGUGUCCGGUCCUCGAGCGUAUGGGGCUUUGUCACCCGCUCUGUAGGCCCGGCCGGCGCCUUAGCCGACGACACAAUCUUUUUUUUCAGGUUGACCUCGGAUCAGGUAGGGAUACCCGCUGAACUUAAGCAUAUCAAUAAGCGGAGGA